UGAGGAAUAUUGGUCAAUGGGCGGGAGCCUGAACCAGCCAAGCCGCGUGAGGGAGGAAGGCCCUAUGGGUCGUAAACCUCUUUUGUCAGGGAACAAAAGCGAGUAUGUAUACUAGUCUGAGUGUACCUGAAGAAAAAGCAUCGGCUAACUCCGUGCCAGCAGCCGCGGUAAUACGGAGGAUGCGAGCGUUAUCCGGAUUUAUUGGGUUUAAAGGGUGCGUAGGCGGCGGUGCAAGUCAGCGGUAAAAGCCCGGGGCUCAACCCCGGCGAGCCGUUGAAACUGCAGUGCUAGAGAAGGCGAGAGGCACGCGGAAUGCGCAGUGUAGCGGUGAAAUGCUUAGAUAUUGCGCAGAACUCCGAUUGCGAAGGCAGCGUACUGGCGCCUGACUGACGCUGAGGCACGAAAGCGUGGGGAUCGAACAGGAUUAGAUACCC
rnacentral:rRNA from 1 species